rnacentral:misc_RNA from 1 species
CUAUCCUUUAAACUUAAAUAAAAGAAAUCCCACAAUAGUUUCAGAGAGGCGUAUCACAGCUGGAGAGUGCAAUCAAACAGAUGCAGAGACAUGCAGUUAGCUAGGAUCCCAAACAUUCAAAAUUGAAGAUCCCAACGCAGAGCAGCCAAGAAUGAAACCUCAAGUGAAGUAGCACAAAACCAACGAAGCAGACCCAGAAGACACCUCAACACAAAA